GCGGUAGAAACUCAUCUUCCACAUUUAGAAAAGAAUGAUCAUUUGAUUGAGUAAUUAAGGAAACGUUUGUGAAAAUGGUGUUUUUCUUCAAAGUAAUCUUAUGGUGUUCUUCCAUAUUCAAAGUAAAAUGUUUUAGAAAAGAAGUUUGAUCUUAUGGAAGGGAAAGUUUUGAGUUUACAAGGUUUUGGGAAGGAGUUCACGAAAUUAUCAAGGGCUAGGGUAUGUUAUCGUUUUAAUUGACUAAAUGAGUAACGUUACCUUGUCCGCGUGAUUAGGGAAUUCCAAGCAUCUGAUUUCCUGCCAAAUCCAAAGGUCAGGAUUCUAUUGAUUUUCAAUCAAGGUAAGUGCACUUCGGCUACGGCCUAGAAAUCUUGAUUGUGUAUGUUAUGGAUCUAUAGACGAACAUGCUUUUAAUGACACUUCGGUCUAGAGGUCUUGUUUGUGGAUGUGAUUGAUUAUUUAUGUGCUGAUGAUGAUUGAUCAUGAUGUAAAAAUGCUAGCAUAAUGUUAAUAUGAACAUGCCUGAUAUGAUAUGCUUAAGUUGCGAGUUGUAUUUUUUAUUAUAUUGAAGUUAUAUAUCGUUUGUCAUGCAUUCAUGUCGUGGACGUGAUGUGGCAAGUAUGCAUGUGUCAGAUGGACACGUGGAUUAGGGCUUCAGACCGUGAGAACGACAGAUCUGUUAGCUGCUUAGACAGCUGACUUGCAUAACAUAAGUGUCUUACCAAGUGACCAUGAUGGGCUUGGUGGCCAUGACUAGUGACCAUGAUGGUUAGUCCGUGGUGUGUUUUAUCAAGUGACCUUGAUGGGCUUGAUGGCCAUGAUUAGUGACAAUGAUUGGCUAAUUUGUGUCUAACCCCGACUGCGGAACUGAGAUGUAGUGGUCCAUUGACAAUGGGUCAACCCCAAUCGUUGAGUCGUAUUUUUCCUGGCCGACCCUUUGAGGUUCUGGGAUUAUGGAUAUGUGAACCUUCAUGUGUUUUAUCACAUUCUAGGUUGUCUUCUUUGUUACUUUUGUAAUCUUGAUUGUGGUUACAAAAAUCAGCAAGAGUCUCUUCCUUUUUGUCUCAUAUACGAAACGUAUUUUCAUUCCCCUUUUAAAUUCUUUUCAUCUUUCUCAUCUUGAUCUCCAGAACCUCUAUUCCUAUGCAAUAAAUCUCUUCCAUCUGGACCUCCCAACAACACCAUCCCUGCAUAAGAAGAUCAUCCAUUAGGUUAGAAAAAUUUCUUUUCCAUUUGGAUUCAAACAAUAUGAUAGAGCGGGAAAGCACGAAUAAACCACAAAAAAAAAUUGUUCACGCAGUUCGGCAUAUAGUGCCUACCUUUGCGGCUAUAGAGUAGCUAUAGCUCCCUUUAUUGAUUAUCAAUAAUCAAUUGUGUUUACAAUAGAAAUUUCUCUCAACUACCCAAUUGUCUCACACAUCUGCAAUAGCAGUUUCUCUCAACUGCCCAAUUGUUGCGUACCCUCGCACACUGCCUAAUUGCGGGGCACUUGCACACCGCCCAAUUGUUGUGCACUCUGCAUUCACCUAGUGCACACUAGCACACAAUUAGAGUUACAUUGCAACUCUAUUUAUAGUGGAUUCUACUGAUCCUUAUUUUACAAUAAAAUCCAUAUAAGCUCUAUCACAAUCCCCUUAAAUCAAAUCCUAAUAAACUAAAUAUUUGGCCUCAAAUUAAAUAAAAUCCACGGGCUUCAGAUUUCCCUAAUGAGCCAAUUCUCAAACUAGUAGAUUUUGGAUUCUUUUUCUAGAAAAUGUUGAAGAAAAGAAUGGUGAUGGUGUGGAACAUGGGUGUAGGAGUGGUGGUUGAGGGGGAGGGGGAUUGGUGGUGGGGUGAGAGGGACCAAAACUGUAGCAAGAGAAGAACUUAAAAAAAUUAAUUUUUUUAAUCAAAAUAUUAUUAUAAAAAGCCACGUCAGUUUUCCGUUAGUUUUUGGAUGGAAUAUGGACAGAAAACCAAUUCUGCAAACGGAGGUAUUCGUCGGGGAUGCGUAAUGCAAUUGAUUUUUGUUGGGGGCCAGAAUCGUGAAAAAGAUAUAAGUGAGGGACCAAAUGUGAAAUUAAGGCUACUUUAUAUUUAGGCUUACUGUAAAAUGCGGUUUACUAUAUUCCAAUGAAUCUUUUUUGUUACAUAGGAAAGAUAAUUUGCACCCUCCAGGGAUCGAUCCCUGGACCUCCCCCUACCCAACCUACAAGUUUCAUAAUUCUUACCACUUGAGCUAUCAUUCAAUGACUAUUUCCAAUGAAUAUGGUAGCAAGUAGAUCUUUAUUGAUUUUUUAGAGUAUAUCAAAGUAGACUUUAUAAAAUGAGGAAUAUGAUAAUCUUAUUUUGCAGGCUUUAUAACUUUAUACAAUGUUUAUUGAGAUAUCGUUAAAUUUAUAACUUUUAUUUUUCUACAAUGAUUAAUUAAUCAUAGUUGAAUGUGUUCUUCAUGCUAAAACAUAAACAAAAAAAUUUGCCAAGGGUAAAACAACUUUAUAAUUGUGGCUAAAAAAUGUGGGUUAAAAAACACAACAAAGGGCCUUAAAUAAAUUUUCCAAGUUUACCUUAACAUUGCCCUCUUUUCAAUUAGUUUUUACUCACCUAUAAAUUCUUUUAGUUUUUCGAUAUGGUUGUAAUUUUUUAAGACUAACAUAAUUAUUUUUAUAAGUUUAUCCGAAGCAUAUAAAACUGUCAAUUAAUUUUAACUAGUUUUCUUAAUCUGAUGAAAUUAGUUAAAUCUGAGUAAUAAGUAGAAAAAUAGAGAGUCAUAAUAGUGAAUGAUUAAAGAUAAGCAACAUAUAAAAAGGAUCAACACCUUGAAUCUCAGCCCAUUUUAAUAAUACAGAAUUAAAGUAUGAGGUUCUUAAUUAAUUUCUCUUCUUUACACAAAUAUAUGGAUGGAUGCAUGACUGUAUUUGGUAUAGAAGUUAUGGAAUGAUAACGCAUUAUAAGGGAAAUUUUAUGGAAAUUUAGCUAUAAAUUUGAGUUGAUAGUUUAUAUCCUGAUAUAAGGGCUGAUAGUGCUAGACACAAAAAGGCAAAAAAGGACAUGCUAAUGGCUGCAGCUAAAGAAUCUGUGAAUAUAUUGUCUUCUACACUCCUCAUCCCACUUGUCAUUGGAAUCCCGGAUGAUACUGAUGACAUCAUGAGAUAUGCCAUAACCUGAAACCAAAAACUGAUCACUGAUGAUGCUAUCAUUAAAUUAAAUUUCAUGACAAAAUUUGAUUCUUUGCUAUCUAUAGAGGUGGUUGGGCUUAGAAACAGAGCACCAUGAAAAUGAAUGCAAUGAGAGAAGAAGGAAUGCAAAACCUGAUCUCCAACAAAAGAAAAAGUAAUCAACACUGCAGAUCUCGGUCGAAGUAGGUUUAUUUCAGUGUAAAGUUCUUGAACUUGACGAAAAACUUGGUAACCAGUGUACAAACUAGAUAUAAUGGCUGUGGCCAGCAAAUGCCUGAAAUUCAAAAAUUCCAAUUUCAACAUCCUAAUAAGCAAAAUCAAAUUUUGACUAAAGCCACUAAUCUUGUUAGAAGUCCCACAUUGGCUAGAGAUAGAGUAUAGAUAGCCUUUAUAAGGGUAGUGCAAACCUCAACUCUUGAGCUAGCUUUUGUGGUUGAAUAUAGACCUCCUUAUUUUUAUAAUAAUUUUUAUAAUGUUAUUCUUAGGUUGUCUGUAUAAACAACCGUCCUUAUUUUUCUUCAAUUUUAGAGUUUUUAUGUUAUAUGUUUGUGUUGUGGAUUAUCUCCUAUUUAUUUCUCUAUUGUGUGACUUUGUUUUUCCUAAUAGGUUCACACUUAAAUAAUUAUUACAAAUAUAAUAUAAAAUCAUUGAUAUAUAUUCAUAAUUUGUUUCUUUGCAAUUAAGGAGUUUCUGGGUUCUACCUGAAUUCUUCAUACUUGUCGAAAUCUUUCCAACCGCCAUGCUUGUUGCUUGCCAUGGUGAUGAAGGAAAUGAAAGAGGAAACAAAAGCAAUUACUCUCAACCACAACAAACCUCUCUCGAGCAAAACUUCC
rnacentral:lncRNA from 1 species